GAAAAGAGCUUUGCCUAUUUUAUUUUGAACACCAAAGUAUUAUUUUGGGAACACACAUUAAUCUGAAGUGACCUUAGUCACUGCUGUUUUGGAUGCUAAAGGAAGUCAACUGAGGUAAUAGUAUUUUUAAGGUUAGAGAGUGGCUUUAAAAAAAUCUAGGAAUAUUUCAGGACCUCUGACUUCAUAGUAACAAGUAUUAGAUUUCUUGGUAAAUAAGACUUUUAAAGAUCAUUUAAAAAUGGAACAAAUUAAGGACCUUAUUUAAGUAACUUAGGUCAAAGUGAAGGGGCUGUGUCUUGAGAAGCUCAGAGUGAAAGGGUCCUCACAGGAAUAGGUGUAAAAUGCUGCUGGCACUGAAGAAUUAAGUGACAUCCUAUAGAAUGGGAACCAGAGACUAGGAACACUGGCAUCGCAGUUGGUGUCAAUUUCUAUGUGGACGUAUCAGUGCGUGUAUUUUAUAUGCAUGUAAUUUUGUAUAUUACUAUGUAAAGAAAUUAAUGUAAAAUUAAUAUAUAUAAUAUAUAGCAUGAUCUACCACAAUAGAACAUUUAUACCCAGUGAUGUCCUUUCAUUUGCCUCAUUUAUCCUUAUUUAUCUCCAAAACUUUAAUGGCUAUCUUUCAAAUGAGCUGAUUGACAAUCACUUAUACUUCAAGUCACCUUCUGAUCCAGUGGAAAUGUCAAGAAAUAUCUUUGUGAUGUAUUACUAGUUUGGACCAUUGCUUCAGUGAUUUUAUUCUUGUUUCUCAUUUGAGCUUUUGUGAUUUGCAAGAACCAAAGCAAAAUACAGCGAUCAGAAAAGUAGUGAAUUAAAGUACCUUCAAUAAACUGUCGCUAGAAUUGGUGAGGGACUCUGCACUAGGGGGACUUGAGAUUUGAGGUCACCUUGUAUCUGGGCAUGUGCCAAGUUUGGAGAUGUAUUGUUUCCAUUACAGUUGUAUGUGGUCAGCCCAGACCAGAUGCUGCUGGUAACAUGGGCAAAGCCCUGGCACAGGUAUACAGAAAUCCUCUUUGGAGACAGCUCGAUCUCAUCCUGUCAACCUACGCUUUCAACGCAGCAAGCAGAGAUUUUCUCAGGGGAAACAUUUAAGGACAGAGCACACUUCAGCUCUUCUUCCUCUCCAACCUGGGAAUGUGGGUGUCUGACCGCCCUAUGGGGCAUCUUGCCAGCAAAUCAUUGUAGUCAGGCAGAGAAAUUUCAACUAAGG
rnacentral:lncRNA from 1 species